AUUGAACGCUGGCGGCAGGCCUAACACAUGCAAGUCGAACGGUAACAGGAAGCAGCUUGCUGCUUCGCUGACGAGUGGCGGACGGGUGAGUAAUGUCUGGGAAGCUGCCUGAUGGAGGGGGAUAACUACUGGAAACGGUAGCUAAUACCGCAUAAUGUCGCAAGACCAAAGAGGGGGAGCUUCGGGCCUCUUGCCAUCGGAUGUGCCCAGAUGGGAUUAGCUUGUUGGUGGGGUAACGGCUCACCAAGGCGACGAUCCCUAGCUGGUCUGAGAGGAUGACCAGCCACACUGGAACUGAGACACGGUCCAGACUCCUACGGGAGGCAGCAGUGGGGAAUAUUGCACAAUGGGCGCAAGCCUGAUGCAGCCAUGCCGCGUGUAUGAAGAAGGCCUUCGGGUUGUAAAGUACUUUCAGCGGGGAGGAAGGGAGUAAAGUUAAUACCUUUGCUCAUUGACGUUACCCGCAGAAGAAGCACCGGCUAACUCCGUG
rnacentral:rRNA from 1 species